UGGGGAAUAUUGCACAAUGGGCGCAAGCCUGAUGCAGCCAUGCCGCGUGUAUGAAGAAGGCCUUCGGGUUGUAAAGUACUUUCAGCGGGGAGGAAGGGAGUAAAGUUAAUACCUUUGCUCAUUGACGUUACCCGCAGAAGAAGCACCGGCUAACUCCGUGCCAGCAGCCGCGGUAAUACGGAGGGUGCAAGCGUUAAUCGGAAUUACUGGGCGUAAAGCGCACGCAGGCGGUUUGUUAAGUCAGAUGUGAAAUCCCCGGGCUCAACCUGGGAACUGCAUCUGAUACUGGCAAGCUUGAGUAUCGUAGAGGGGGGUAGAAUUACAGGUGUAGCGGUGAAAUGCGGUGAGAUCUGGAGGUAUACCGGUGGCGAAGGCGGCCCCCUGGACGAAGACUGACGCUCAGGUGCGAAAGCGUGGGGAGCAAACAGG
rnacentral:rRNA from 1 species